UAUAUACAUAUAUAUUUGUUUUAAUGCUUGUAAGACUAUUCUUUGACACAUUUUCUUUUCCUUUGAAAUUCUUAUAGGACAGAACAUGGACACAAUGCAAUUGGGAUCAAGAAGAAGGUACAGAUAUGUUGUAGGACAGCUGCAUUUGAAGUGUACAUUUAACCUACAUAGCAGUCAAUACAAACUGAAAUCUAUUAGCAAACAAAUGUGUGCAAAUUAUCUUCUCAGAAAUGAAUCAAGUCCAUGGAAUGGAUAUAGACAAAAAUAUAAUUCAAGGACUAUCAGAGGUAGAGGCGAGGCAGGGGAGAGGACAUCACCCUGCUAUUUUGACAGUCCCUGAAGGACAAUACAGAAAAGGUAUUUGCUCUUAUUCCUUCCCUUUUUCUAAUGUAUUUUAUCCUAAACUUAGCAAGUGUAGUAAGAUCAUUGCUUUACUUUACUAGGACUGGAGACCACAGCAGUGAUCCUGCUCUUGCCCAACCUCUUCAAUGAGGACCCGAGUGGCCUUUAUGUCCGUGACAAGAUUUCACCGCUCUUCACUCCUUUGCUGCACAUCGGCGGAAAUCCAUUUCACCAUUGAGAGUGAAAUCUCGCUGGCCUUUGAUGGGGAGAACAUCCACGCCCUCGAGGAUGUCCCCAUGGGACUUUGGGCUCUGCUACGGCUGGAUUUUUUUAUUUUCCCCAAAAAUGUCAGAAAAACACUUAUGUUGUUAAGUUACUGUGUUCUGGGGAUAAGAGAAGUUGGGGUGAAGUUACCAGGGCCGGUCAUAAAGAUGGCAAACUUCCUAACAUAACUAAGUGAAUAUGAUAUACACACUAAAGCUUAAAAAUCUGUAUUUAGCAUCAAAUCUACAAUAUUGUUAGUUUACCUAUGAUUCAUUUUUAAUGUAUGUUGUUUUUAUUGUACAUCAUUAUUUUUUUUAAAUAUUUUUAAAAGUCAUGAAAAGCACUAUACAAAGUAAAUGUAUUAUUCGUUAUGGUCUGACAUGUCUGCAGAAAUGUUGCAAUUUGGUAAUGUGUUUUGUUUGGUUAAUAUUAAUUCACAUUUGUGGUGCCACUAAAUAAAUAAUUAUUUAA
ensembl:lncRNA